CAUUAGUGUGUGAGUAGAUACAAUUACCACAUCCACUGAACUCACCUAUGGGCACAGUAACAUGUAAAACUAAGAUUCACACCCUAUCAUAUACAUACACCCCAACAUUGGUGUCCUAUGAAGCAUGACAUCUGUGAGGUGGUAAUAGGAGGAGAGUCGGUGAUUUGAAUUGUAUCACUGGCGUUGCCCGGGAAGGUUGCAGGUCCACCU